rnacentral:rRNA from 1 species
CAGUAGCCGCGGGAAUACGUAGGGUGCGAGCGUUAAUCGGAAUUACUGGGCGUAAAGCGUGCGCAGGCGGCUUCGCAAGACAGAUGUGAAAUCCCCGGGCUCAACCUGGGAACUGCAUUUGUGACUGCAAGGCUAGAGUACGGUAGAGGGGGAUGGAAUUCCGCGUGUAGCAGUGAAAUGCGUAGAUAUGCGGAGGAACACCAAUGGCGAAGGCAAUCCCCUGGACCUGUACUGACGCUCAUGCACGAAAGCGUGGGGAGCAAACAGGAUUAGAUACCCGCGUAGUCCCUGUCUCUUAUAC